CUCUGUCUCUCUUAUCCUCUCUCUCUCUUUGACCCACUCUUAUCCUUUUGCCUUCCAUUAUGAGAUGACACAGUUUCUUUAUAAAUUAACCAGGCUUAGAUAUUCUAUUAUAGCAGCACAAAACAGACUAAGGCAAGCUCUAAGCUCCAUGUGGAUGAGGACUUUAUUCUGCAAUUCCUUAACAUUCCCGCCAACAUUUAGAAGACUUAAAAGCAGAUUAAGUAACUGCUGCCAACAUAUAUGUUGAGAUUUUUUUUGAAAUGGUUAGCUCUUAGUAGAGUUACAAAGAGUUGAUCACAAUCCCAUCAACUGCCACCUAUACUUGUAUUUCAAAAGUGUCUGGUGAUCAUUUGUGAAUCAUAUAAUUUUCAAGACCAAGAUCAUACGUUUGGUAUCAUGAGAACCAUACUGUAGCAAAUCAAAGUGCAACAAAUGUAAGUAUCAAUAACAUAUCUCAAUGAUUUUAAGAUCAACUUGUUGAUUUUGUUAAUUUCUGGCCCGAUUUUGAAGUUAAAUGAUUCCUCAUCCCUUGAAAAAACAGAAAUGUACUCAAAAACACUUUUUAUUGUAUCUUUGUCUGCUGUCAAUUGUUUCUGUAUAUUGUGAAAUGAAACUAACCCAUCGGCCAAGGUGAAUGAGAGAAGGGUGGUCACACCCACUUUGUUCCCAGAGAGGGCAGCUUCAGAGGAACAUCUUGUUUGCACCUCUGAGUUAAGAUGGUUCCUGUAACUGGAGCUCAAGCUCUGGUGGGAAAACUCCUUCCACCAGCGGCCUGAAAGGGGCAGCUAAAAAAGACUUCUGGUUUGAGCUUGGAAACUACCCAGCCAGAACUUAACUGUAUUCAACCAAUUAGGACUGAACAAGUUGGAAUUCUUCAUAUGCAUAUGUGGACCUCAUUGAGGGCUGAGGCAGAGACUUUCCCUAUUCAUUAAGCAAGGCCUGCUCUUUGUUAUCUGGAGCUUACUUCACAUUUGUUUCAAAGGUGUCUCCCCUAUCUGAAUAUUGCUUUUUGUUUUUGUUUUAAAAACAAAACUCUCCUUUGUUUUUCCUCUGAAGACCUCAUUGGCUUUUGUUAACAAUAUCAGGUAUUUCUUUGAUUGCAACAUCAUUGGGAUCUAAAGAGUUUAUGUAGAAUAUAUUUCCACUCAUUUGAGAAUAUUGGACAUGAAUACUUCUAAAGGUAAAAAAAGAGCUAGAGCUUUUUUUUGUUGUUGGUUUUGUGUUGUUUUUAUAGAUUCAGGGAGCACGUAUGCAGGUUUGUUACGUAGAUAUAUUGUGUAAUGGUGAAGUUUGGGCUUUUAGUGUGCUGGUCACCUCAAUAGUGAACAUUGUACCCAAUAGGUAGCUUUCCACCUUCUCUCAGUCUCCCUCUCUUGGAAUACCAAAUAUCUGUUAUUUUUCUGCCUAGGGCUGUUUUUAAAAUUUGUGGAAGAAAAUGCUCACAGUUAUCUUUAAAAUGAAACUUUGGAUUGUUUCACAUUCAAUUGGUAUGGAAAAUAUCCUCGGCAUCGAGAAGCAUAAUAAAGGUGAUAUUUGCAAAUAAAACACAAAAGUAGAAUUUUUUAAAGCUACAGUAGAGUUACAACAUCAAAACUUUCAUAUAUGUAGUCUCUGUUGUUCCUGUGCAAGGUAACUUUUUGGAUUUGAUGUAAGAAUUUUAAACUCCCGUGUUUUUCCAUAUGUAACUAAACAUUAAAACAAGAUCAUAAUAUCAUUUCUUAUUAAAAAUUUGCCUGCUGGUCUUUUAAGUACACAACUUAUUCACACAUAUAAAUUGAUAAUAUAUUAAAUGAGAAAUGUAAUUAGUAUUUGCUCAUUUUUCUUCUUUGAGAAUUUUGUGAAUAAAUGUUCAUUAAUCUAGUGGCAAAUGUACCCUAACGUUGUAUAAUUCACACCCUUUCUGCAUGAGUUUACUAAGAUGUAAUCUAUUUUUCAUUUUAUCUCCUCUCUUUGCUCCAAUUGCACUUCUAUAGGUACUAAAUGUUUAUUUAUGUACGUAUUUGAUUAUUCAUAUGUAAACAUCUGUCAACUCAAUAAAACUCAUUGCAGGGUACUCAUUACUUUAAAGAGAAAACUGGGCUCAUUGCAGUGAAACUAAAUGUAAAAA
rnacentral:lncRNA from 1 species